UGGACGACUUCGGUGAGGCUCG
rnacentral:misc_RNA from 1 species